AUCACAUCAAGUUGAAACACCGUUUCUCCUGCGAUCACCGAAGUUAAGGAACGUCGAACCUGGUCAGUACCUUGGUGGGUAACCACUUGAGAACACCAUGUGUUGUAAG